GACAUCCGGAAGACCGUUCCCGAAAAGGAAGGGUGGCCCUUCCGGGGAAUUCCGAGACAGGUGCUGCAUGGCUGUCGUCAGCUCGUGCCGUGAGGUGUUGGGUUAAGUCCCGCAACGAGCGCAACCCUAUUGCCAGUUGCUACCAGGUAAUGCUGGGCACUCUGGUGAGACUGCCCCGGUUAACGGGGAGGAAGGUGGGGACGACGUCAAGUCAUCAUGGCCCUUACGCCUAGGGCUACACACGUACUACAAUGGCGCAUACAAAGGGCAGCGAUACCGCGAGGUGGAGCCAAUCCCAAAAAGUGCGUCCCAGUCCGGAUUGCAGUCUGCAACUCGACUGCAUGAAGUUGGAAUCGCUAGUAAUUCGAGAUCAGCAUGCUCGGGUGAAUGCGUUCCCGGGCCCU
rnacentral:rRNA from 1 species